GGGAGGAAGAGUGAGCCCACCCCACAGAGUCUCCCUGCUGCCGAAGGAGUAACAACAUGCAGGGGCAUUUCCAGCACCAUGUCUGCCUGCAUGCUGCCGAGUCCUGCCAUGAGGAUAACAGACUAAACCUCUGAACUAUAUCCAUAGCAUCUGGAUUAAUUUACAUUCCUGUGGUUGGAAAAUUUUACACCAAUUUCUCAAAACCAAUGGAAAAGGCUGAAGAAAAUCAAUCCAUAUUCAGAAGAUUUUAAUAAGGAGAAUGAGGGCAUCUAGCUAAGGAAUCUGAAGACCACUGGACAAAUGAGACAUCGGAAGAAAAAGGACACAUAAUCUAGGAAAAAUAGAAAGUCCCAAGAAAAAGAGUAAUUUGGUCUAUUGACAUUGACAUUUUCAACAGGAUAAAAUUUCAUAAAUCGGGCUGGAGAGAUGGUUCAGAGGUUAAGAGCACCGAUUGCUCUUCCAGAGGUCCUGAGUUCAAUUCCCAGCAACCACAUGGUGGUUCACAACCAUCCCUUAUGAGAUCUGGUGCCCUCUUCUGGUAUACAGAUAUACAUGGAAGCAGAAUGUUAUAUGUAUAAUAAAUAAAUAAACUCUGAAAAAAAUUUCAUAAAUCUUCCCAAAUGUUUGUUUCUGGUUUUCUCUACAGAGAUAUAAUGCAAAUGAUCUUUUUGUAGUCCCAGUCAAGCUAAAAUCAAAGCUUACUUUGGAGUUUCAGUGUGGCUCUCUUCUUCUCUAAACCCAAGCAUGUUUGUUAAAGUAACAUACCAAAUCUCUGUUUCAUGUCAGAAGAGCCACCUGAUAUGGGACAGAAGAAAAACAAAAAUUAAGGGACUAUUUUAUUUCCACUAAUCUCAUAAUCCUUUGGUUUUAUUUUGACUCUUGAAAGCUGUCCUUAAGGUAUAAACAUUAUCUUAAAAUUUAUAAGAUUAAUAUAUGUUAAAUUUUUGUCACAAUAUUAAUGGUCAUACAGAAUACUAGCUUCCUGUACAUGGUUCCAUGUUUGAAUCUCUAUC
ensembl:lncRNA